rnacentral:rRNA from 1 species
UACGUAGGGUGCGAGCGUUGUCCGGAAUUAUUGGGCGUAAAGCGCGCGCAGGCGGUUUCUUAAGUCUGAUGUGAAAGCCCACGGCUCAACCGUGGAGGGUCAUUGGAAACUGGGGAACUUGAGUGCAGAAGAGAAAAGCGGAAUUCCACGUGUAGCGGUGAAAUGCGUAGAGAUGUGGAGGAACACCAGUGGCGAAGGCGGCUUUUUGGUCUGUAACUGACGCUGAGGCGCGAAAGCGUGGGGAGCAAACAGG